rnacentral:rRNA from 1 species
AGAGUUUGAUCCUGGCUCAGGACGAACGCUGGCGGCGUGCCUAAUACAUGCAAGUCGAGCGGACUGAUGGGAGCUUGCUCCCUGAUGUCAGCGGCGGACGGGUGAGUAACACGUGGGCAACCUGCCUGUAAGACUGGGAUAACUCCGGGAAACCGGGGCUAAUACCGGAUAACCCGUUCCACCUCAUGGUGGAGCGGUAAAAGAUGGCCUCUGGCUAUCACUUACAGAUGGGCCCGCGGCGCAUUAGCUAGUUGGUAAGGUAACGGCUUACCAAGGCGACGAUGCGUAGCCGACCUGAGAGGGUGAUCGGCCACACUGGGACUGAGACACGGCCCAGACUCCUACGGGAGGCAGCAGUAGGGAAUCUUCCGCAAUGGACGAAAGUCUGACGGAGCAACGCCGCGUGAGUGAUGAAGGUUUUCGGAUCGUAAAGCUCUGUUGUUAGGGAAGAACAAGUGCCGUUUGAAUAAGGCGGCACCUUGACGGUACCUAACCAGAAAGCCACGGCUAACUACGUGCCAGCAGCCGCGGUAAUACGUAGGUGGCAAGCGUUGUCCGGAAUUAUUGGGCGUAAAGCGCGCGCAGGCGGUCUCUUAAGUCUGAUGUGAAAGCCCACGGCUCAACCGUGGAGGGUCAUUGGAAACUGGGAGACUUGAGUACAGAAGAGGAGAGUGGAAUUCCACGUGUAGCGGUGAAAUGCGUAGAUAUGUGGAGGAACACCAGUGGCGAANGCGACUCUCUGGUCUGUAACUGACGCUGANGCGCGAAAGCGUGGGGAGCAAACAGGAUUAGAUACCCUGNUAGUCCACGCCGUAAACGAUGAGUGCUAGGUGUUAGGGGUUUCGAUGCCCUUANUGCCGAANUUAACACAUUANGCACUCCGCCUGGGGGAGUACGACCGCANNGUUGAANCUCAANGAAUUGACGGGGGCCCGCACAAGCAGUGGANCAUGUGGUUUAAUUCGAAGCAACGCNAA